GACGAACGCUGGCGGCGUGCUUAACACAUGCAAGUCGAACGGAGCACCCUUGAAAGAGAUUUCGGUCAAUGGAGAGGAAUGCUUAGUGGCGGACGGGUGAGUAACGCGUGAGUAACCUGCCUUUCAGAGGGGGACAACAGUUGGAAACGACUGCUAAUACCGCAUAACAUAUAGGUGCCGCAUGACACUUAUAUCAAAGAUUUAUCGCUGAGAGAUGGACUCGCGUCUGAUUAGCUAGUUGGUGAGGUAACGGCUCACCAAGGCGACGAUCAGUAGCCGGACUGAGAGGUUGGCCGGCCACAUUGGGACUGAGAUACGGCCCAG
rnacentral:rRNA from 1 species